AAUACAUUUCAGGCUCAGAAGACGAAGCAGAAAAACACGAAGAUAUGGAGUUUUGGAUACAAACAUAGAGAACAUGGAGCUGACUCCAUUGGAACAAGAUGAUGAAGAGGAUGAUACAACACUGUUUGAUGCAAAUCAUCCUCGAAGAUAAGUACGUGCCUUUCAGUGAAAGAACUUAAUCAUGAAACCAGAGAAAAAGACUGCUUCAUAGGAGGAGUAAGAACCAAAUAGCAAGAGAGUAUGGAAUUUGAGGAAAUAAUUUAAGUUGUAUAUAUUAUGUCAUCCUUGAUUUGUUGCAAUAAAUACUGUACCAAUUUGUUGUA